GUGUUUAGGGAGGAGCAGUGAAAGUGAAAGUGUUGAUCCUCCGUUCAGAGCAGCAGGAGGAGGAAGGUGGAGCUGAGGCAGACUAACUCCACCCUGACAUCAAGAAGAUGGAGGAAGAGGACGGAGCAGCAUCUGCAGCAUCCAGCUGUGUGUGUGUGAGGAGUGAUGGGGUCACACAAACACCUCCACAUUACAGUCAUGGACCUGCAGCAACAAAGUUCUUCAAUCAUGGAGCUCAGCUGACCAUAGGUCAGAGGUCACAGUCUCCAGUAUCCAGCUGUGUGUCUGUGAGGAGUGACUGGUCCAAAGACAUACUUCCUCCAGACUUCAGUCAUGAACCUGCACCAACAGUGAACUUCAUUCAUGGAGCUCAGCUGACCAUAGGUCAGAGGUCACAGUCUCGAGUAUCCAGCUGUGUGUCUGUGAGGAGUGACUGGUCCAAAGACAUACUUCCUCCAGACUUCAGUCAUGAACUGCACCAACAAUGUUCUUCAAUCAUGGAGCUCAGCUGACCAUAGGGAGGAAGAGGAAGAGGAGUGGUGUUUGUGAGGAGGAGCUGUCCUGCUGUGCUUUGUGU